rnacentral:pre_miRNA from 1 species
GUAGAUCGGGCCUGAUCCAAUGCCCCUUGAAAUCAGUGGGAAUCUUUCCAAUGACUUCCAUGGUCUUUGGAUCAGGUCCAGCAUGC